rnacentral:lncRNA from 1 species
UGAAAGAAUUGUUAUUUUUCCUUCUCACUGUGCAUUCUCCACAAUCUUCUAUACACUUUCUCCCAAAAAAAACUAAACUUUGAUUUCCCCAAUCUUCUAUAUGAAAACCUAAUUGAUUUUUCCCAAAUCAUUUUCCAUCCAAAAUCGAGAAAUUUUGCCUCCUUCCAUACCUCAUCAUGGAAGUUUCUUCAUCAACCUGGAAUGCCGAACAUAUAAUUAUAUCAUUGUGGUUAUAGAACUGUUACAAAGAGUUCAUGGAUGAAGAACAAUCUAGGAAGACGGUUUUGGAGAUGUAGAUAUUAUGGAGGGCCAGAUGCUUGCAACUAUUUUUCUUAGGUCGACCCACUUAUUUAUCCCACGCUACAAGAGUGUAAUAAAUGGCCUAAUCCACCGAUUGAAUGAUAUGUAACAGAAGGAGUGUAUGAUGAGCAAAUCCUUGAAGCCAUAUUAGGUAAGAUUCAGAUUCCUCAUAAUUUACAGUGUUAUCGGUCUUUUUGUGUUUAGUGGGUUCAGUUAUGGAUCGAAUAUGUUGUUUGUUAUUGGUAUUUGGUAGUUGUAUGUUGGUGAUUUAGUUAUACUGAUGGUGUUGUGAAAGUGGUGAUGGUUGUGGAAUCAUCUAAGCAAACCAUAUGUUUUACAGAGUUUAGCUAAAUGUUACUUGUUCCGGUUUAAUUAAUGGGUUGGUGUUUAAAGACGCAUCUAAACCAAGACCAUGAACUUGGGCAGCUUGAGCAUGGACAGCUUCCAACUAUUCUGCACUAUAACCUCAUUCUGUAAGUUCAGCAAGUUCAUUGAUAGAGUACAAAUACGGAGAUAAAAUGUACAUCUCUUGAAUAACGCAUUCAUAGAUGAAGUAAAGGCUAAGAACUUAAGUAAGAAAGCACUUGAAAGUGCAAUUUGAAAGUUAACUUGUAAGAACACCAGAACUUUUAUGAUGAAAGCCCGGCCAGAUGCUUGCAACUAUUUUUCUUAGGUCGACCCACCUGUUUAUCCCACGCUACAAGAGUGUAAUAAAUGGCCUAAUCCACCGAUUGAAUGAUAUGUAACAGAAGGAGUGUAUGAUGAGCAAAUCCUUGAAGCCAUAUUAGGUAAGAUUCAGAAUUCUCAUAAGUUACAGUGUUAUCGGUCUUUUUGUGUUUAGUGGGUUCAGCUAUGGAUCGAAUAUGUUGUUUGUUAUUGGUAUUUGGUAGUUGUAUAUUGGUGAUUUAGUUAUACUGAUGGUGUUGUGUAAGUGGUGAUGGUUGUGGAAUCAUCUAAGCAAACCAUAUGUUUUACAGUGUUUAGCCAAAUGUUACUUGUUCCGGUUUAAUUAAUGGGUUGGUGUUUAAAGACGUAUAUAAACCAAGACCAUGAACUUCGGCAGCUUGAGCUUGGACAGCUUCCAAGUAUUCUGCACUAUAACCUCAUUCUGUAAGUUCAGCAAGUUCAUUGAUAGAGUACAAAUACGGAGAUAAAAUGUACAUCUCUUGAAUAACGCAUUCAUAGAUGAAGUAAAGAAAGCUAAGAACUUAAGUAAGAAAGCACUUGAAAGUGCAAUUUGAAAGUUAACUUGUAAGAACACCAGAACUUUUAUGAUGAAAGCCAUGAUUUAUGAGAACGGUUAACCAUAAAUUUGCUCUCAAAAAAACAUCAGCCAAAAUGUAAAUUGAAUUUUUCUCAACUACAUACCAAACAUUCCAGAUUUCCAAUUCACUCAACUAUACUCCAAUAUAAAAUUUCAUUCAACCAUAUAGUAAGCAUAAUUCCUUUCGUUUUUACAUCAACAAAACAAAAAUUUUGGUCAGGUAUACAACAAAAAAAUAUUAAUUGAAAACAUAUUUAGCAUCUCUAUAAUCUAAAUUAUAUCAAUGAAACAAAAUUAAUGUACUAUUGAAUUGCUAAUUUUUUUUCUAGAUUCUUGGUGGUGCAUAUGGAAUUGAUCCCCAAACAACCUUUUUUUUUUUUUUGGUUAUGGCUGCCCUCUUCUUUGUUUUUCUUGAUUAUGUAUUUCUUGCAAGUCUUUCACUAAUGUUUACAAAAGAGCAUUCUCUGUUGCUAAAAUAACUGGCUCACUUGUGUAGGACCAUAGUUGGCAAAUUGUGCAGGUUAAACCAAUUCCAAGUGUUGGCAUCAUUUGAAAAUUAGAUUGUGGUUCUACUGGUUGCAAUUCUGAUACAAGCACCUUAGAUGGCCUCCUAGGCACUAGUUUGGCUUAUAAAAAAGGGUUAAAAGAAAACAGUUAUAGCGUCUAAAAAUUAAAUGUUGACCAAAUUUACUAAUUGUAGGAUAUUGUGAUAGAUUUGAUUACCUUUGUGGUUUCACUCCCAAAGUGAAUUGAAUUUUCUCGAUUUUUUGGAUCUAUAUCCACAUAAGACCAUUCUAUAAUGAACCUAUAAAUGUAAUACAUUAGAUUAUAUAUUUUAUUAGAAAUCAGAAAACAUAAUACAAACUUCAUAUAUAAACAAACAUGGUAUGGUACUUCUGCUUUUUAAUGGUACCUCUUGUUGUGUCUCGUUAAACCAAAGACACUACAAGUAAUUACUAUGGUGCCCCUCUUAUUCAACUUUGCUUUAGAACCGAAAUGAGAUAUGACAUCUUUUUCUUCUUCCUAUCUUCGUCUUUUCUUUCCUUUUUCGGAACAUUUGGUGGUUUGAUAGGGGAGCAUCUACUCGAGUCCAUAAUCUUGUCCCAUCGAUAGGGUUCAUAAUAUUCUCAUAAGAACUCAUAUAUAUAGUCAAUCUAUAACACUCAUGCACGUAUCUCUAAGGCUCAUCCCUUUUGUCUAUAAUAGCAGCAACUGCAAGAGUACAAAAAAUUCCAGAUAAAUCUCAUCUCCUACUUAAUUUCUAUAUUAACAACAAAUUCCCCAUUAGAACAUUGAACAUAAGACUGUAUUCCUCUGAACCAGUCUGCUUUAUAGCCCUCAGCUAACUCAAAAUUUUUCAUAAGUUUUUGUUGCACUUUAGGACAUAAAGGCCUAAAGUGCAACAAAAAUUUAUGAAAAGACCUAAGCAAUCCAAACCGAUGCUUCUCAGAUCCUUGUAUCAUUACCCUCGCAUAUCUUAUAGUUCUCCAAGUCGUAACCUUAUUAAUUGUCAAUUUUAGAUCAUCCUUUACAGGUUUUAUAAUAAGCUUAGACUUUCAACCAGGGUCAACUUCAAAGGUAUCUAAAUACCUCUAUGCUAUGUAUUUGGCAAUGCGAUGUCUAUUUGUUUUGAUACAUGUAUGCUCAGAAUUUUUAGAUUUUAUUUGCACGCUUCCUUUCUUCUUAUUCUAUGAAGCCCAAAUCCUCCAUGUACACCUAAUUUGCAUAUGGCUUGGGCUCUAAACUCAUUAUUAGGUUUGAAUAUAAAAUUGCACCUAGUAGCUACACCAUGAUUCCUUAUAGCUUGCUUAUACUCCUCAAUAUUUUUAAGCUCUUUUCCCACCUCUAAUUGUGGAUUGAACUUCUCAUUCUUGAUAUCAUAAACGGAGAAAUGAAAAGUAUUUUCUUCACUAAAAGAAUAGUCAGUGUGCAAUUCCCCCUUACUUGGACAAUAAGUGUCUUCAGAUUGUGAGUCUUCGUCCCUAGCAGUAAAAGAUCGACACUAUGAUCUGCAUUUAAUCCAACCAAAAUCCGUUCAUUUUCAUUCUUAUCAUAAUGAAAAUAUCGUUACUAACAUCUCUUCUGAAUCAAUCAAUUUGUAUUCCUCAGGUAUCACUUCAUCUUUCAAAUAUAUCAUCUGCAAAUAAACAUGUAAAUGAAAUGGUCAGCACGCGUUAUAUAUCUAUACCAAAUGCAGUCAUUCAUGAAGCUACGAAAUGUAUUCCUAAAAAUGAUGAUGUGGUCCUUAAAAUGUCCACUACAAAUGAAUCCCAAAUCCUUAAUUUAUACUCGGAGCAGUACCUAAAAGCCUAUUGUAAAUGAUGAUCUAACUAAAUAUUGGAGGACAAACUUAUAUAGUGGCUAAGAUUCAUUAAAAAAAUGCCAAAAAAAAUACAAUAUAGCACGUGGUCCAUUUUCUAAGAACGUGAAAUAACGUGGACAAUAACAAAGUGCUACCAAAUUCAUCGAUUACUGAUAUAAAAAAAAAAUUGUUAUGGACACAACAUUAUAACAUUUCAUCAAAAUGAUUAAAAAAACCUACUUGUGUUCCCUCUUUUACUUCCUCUAACGAUGUUUCUUCAUCAACAUUAUAGUUGCUUACUAUUACAGGACAUUGUGGGUCAUUCAUGUUCCUUAUUAUCAAGAUAAGAGUUUGGCGCUGGCCAAUUUGACUUUUUUGUAUGAAUCUAGUCUUUUAAAUCUGCGGGUUUUCAAUUUGGGGAUUGAUUUGGAAAGGAUUCAACUGAUAAAAAUCUUCAAGGAUGCAAUUUGUUGAAAUGAGCUUCGUUUGGGGAAAGCAUACAGAAGAUUAGGGAGAAAGCAUGGUGAAGAGGAAAAUAACGAUUCAUUCAAUUUUUGGGAAAAAAGCGCUUUAAUUAGAGCAAGCAAUAUCUACAUGUCAAUUUUUAACGGUAUUAUUGGUUACGUAAGAUUUCAUUCUACCCCGUGGAGAUUUUUUCUAGUUGGAUGGAUGGAAGUAAAACGGGUGAUGGAUGGGGUAAUUUUUUUAAAAACUGGGUAAUCAUUCAAUAACAAUUUAUUUUUAGGUGAACAAAUAGUAACUGAACACAAAUGUUGAUAUUUGAUGAUUUAAUUAACUCUGGUAUAACGAAUGUAAUUCGAUCAUGUCAUAAAUCCUAAUUCAGGUGUGUAAUGUAAAUGGAUACAAGCUCAAUUAAAUGAUAUGUUCAAUUGAGAACUAGUUGACCUAGGCAUGGUUUUAAAAUCAAAACUUUUUAACUACAUUUAAUGUGUUUUUGCUAUUGCUUGUAAUUUCAUUCUUUUCCUAAAAUUUGCUUCUCUUUUUCUCAAUGUUGAGUGGUUAUUGAAUUUAAGGUUAGCUUUCUAAGAGAUAAGGCUUUGCCCUCUUUUUAUCAUCAUUUUUUAUGCUCCAGCCACAAUAACAUCGAAUAUGACUAGAUGUAGCAAAUGGCCAGGAUGUCAAAGACGUGGGCCUGGCACCACUCCUGAUAGCAAUGAUGGACGAAAACAUUUACUUUGCUUUGCCCUCUUUUUAUCAUCAUUUUUUAUGCUCCAGCCACAAUAACAUCGAAUAUGACUAGAUGUAGCGAAUGGCCAGGAUGUCAAAGACGUGGGCCUGGCACCACUCCUGAUAGCAAUGAUGGACGAAAACAUUUUGAAUUAUGGGCACAAUCAAACGUACAAAAAUAGUGGUGAAGAUCAAAACUAGCACAUUACAGUUCUUCCUCAAACUUCAGUCUUCCCUAUUUCUUCCUCUCUAUCACUUAUGCUUCAUGGUAUUGUGCUUAUAUGUCUUUCUUAUUGCAUAUUGGAAUCUCUACUGGAUCACAUAUAAGUGUGUGGGAGACUUUAAAUGAAAUUAACAUCAUAUAUGGUGAUAUAAAGGUUACUUGUUUUUGGUCUUAUUAAAAAUUGUAGCAAAUAUU